rnacentral:rRNA from 1 species
GCUUACAGCCAUGCCACCCUGAAUAUACCUGAUCUCAAAAGCAAAGCAGAGUUGGAGGCUGGUUAGUACUUGGAUGGGAGACCACCUGGGAAUGCCAGGUGCUGUAAGCU